AACAUACUCCCUCCGUUCGAAAAAAAACUUGUCCUGAGCUUGUCUCUCAAAUGGAUGUAUCUAGCACUAACUUGAUGCUAGAUAUAUCCAUUUGAGGGACAAGCUUUUUUCGGACAGAGGGGGUAUUUG
rfam:Triticum urartu cultivar G1812 contig1193078, whole genome shotgun sequence.